UCUCCAUCAUCAACGUUUCUUCCUGCUUCAAGCUGAAGUCUCCCAUGUUCAACGCAUCUUCAUCAUCAACAACGCCACCGGCCACGGUCCAGGAUCACCACACACCAUUCUCCAUUCAUAUUCAUCAUCAAAUGGCUACCUAUCCAAGCUCUAACCUCCAAAAUACGCAGACCCCCAUCACCCGGCUGGAAUCGAAUACUGGGGGUUGGAUUCGAGUACGGUCUGUGCAUGAUUUCUGCUUUCUCUCAGCUGUUGCAAGAAGGGCAUAAAAGCC
rnacentral:lncRNA from 1 species